CCUACGGGAGACUGCAGUGAGGAAUAUUGGUCAAUGGACGAGAGUCUGAACCAGCCAAGUAGCGUGAAGGAUGACUGCCCUAUGGGUUGUAAACUUCUUUUAUAAAGGAAUAAAACGAGGCACGUGUGCCUUUUUGCAUGUACGUUAUGAAUAAGGAUCGGCUAACUCCGUGCCAGCAGCCGCGGUAAUACGGAGGAUCCGAGCGUUAUCCGGAUUUAUUGGGUUUAAAGGGAGCGUAGAGGGGUUGUUAAGUCAGUUGUGAAAGUUUGCGGCUCAACCGUAAAAUUGCCAUUGAUACUGGCAGUCUUGAGUACAGUUGAGGUAGGCGGAAUUCGUUGUGUCGCGGU
rnacentral:rRNA from 1 species